rnacentral:rRNA from 1 species
CGCGUAGGCGGAAUGGUCAGUCAGAUGUGAAAUGUCCCGGCUUAACCGGGGAGUUGCAUUUGAAACUGCCAUUCUUGAGUGUCGUAGGGGAUGAUGGAAUUCCUGGUGUAGCGGUGAAAUGCGUAGAGAUCAGGAAGAACACCGGUGGCGAAGGCGCGUCUCUGGACCGGUACUGACGCUGAUGCCCGAAAGCGUGGGGAGCAAACA